UGUGACUUCGUGAUUGACUGUGAGACUUUAGUCUCGCUAGCCAGACCAUUCCCCAGCCUACAGCCAUUUCCGUCCACCCCAAUGACUGUAGGCUGGGGAAUGGUCUGGCUAUAGCGAGACUAAUCAGACUAAUCAGGCUCAGCAUCACUAGAAGUAGAAGUAUCACAAGGAAGAUCAUAAUCAUUAGUCUCUAACUCUGUGAAAUCAACUGACACUAGAUCUGGCUCAUCUAUAGAAAUUUCAGGUAGUAAAUUUUGUGUGCAGCUGCCAUUAACACAACUGAUGAUUUAUGACAAGCAGUACUUGCUUAUUUAUAGAUCUAUACAUGAGGCAAGAAAGAAAGGAAAGUUGCUUGACGCUUGGUUGCCAUUGCAAGAAAUGAUUACAAAAUUAACAUUCAAAAUAUUCAUGAAAAGUUAAUUUUAAUAACAAUAAUAAUUAAUUUUAA